rnacentral:rRNA from 1 species
GACGAACGCUGGCGGCGUGCUUAACACAUGCAAGUCGAACGGAAAGGCCCUGCUUUUGUGGGGUGCUCGAGUGGCGAACGGGUGAGUAACACGUGAGUAACCUGCCCUUGACUUUGGGAUAACUUCAGGAAACUGGGGCUAAUACCGGAUAGGAUCUCCUGCUGCAUGGUGGGCGUUGGAAAGUUUCGGCGGUUGGGGAUGGACUCGCGGCUUAUCAGCUUGUUUGUGGGGUAGUGGCUUACCAAGGCUUUGACGGGUAGCCGGCCUGAGAGGGUUGCCGGCGACAUUAGGACUGAGAUACGGCGCAGACUCGUACGGGAGGCAGCAGUGGGGAGUAUUGCACAAUGGGCGGAAGCCUGAUGCAGCAACGCCGCGUGCGGGAUGACGGGCUUCGGGUUGUAAACCGCUUUCGCCUGAGACGAAGCGUGAGUGACGGUAAUGGGUAAAGAAGCAACGGCUAACUACGUG